GAAGAAAAUAACAAUGAUUCCCUCAGUAACGGCGAGCGAGGAGGGAUAAGCUCAAAUUUUAAAUCUGUUGGGUUCCACUUAACAGAGUUGUAUUUUGAAGAAACGUUUUCUGCGUCCAGGAUUAGCCUAAAUCCUUUGGGAUAAGGUAUCAUGGAGGGUGAGAAUCCCGUUCAUGGUUAAUCUUAAGGAAGCUCUACGAUACGUUUUCCAAGAGUCGAGUUGUUUGGGAUUGCAGCUCAAAAUGGGAGGUAAAUUUCUCCUAAGGCUAAAUAUUGGCGAGAGACCGAUAGCGAACAAGUACCGUGAGGGAAAGAUGAAAAGAACUUUGAAAAGAGAGUUAAACAGUACGUGAAAUUGUUGAAAGGGAAACGAUUGAAG
rnacentral:rRNA from 1 species